rnacentral:lncRNA from 1 species
GCCCCUAUCUCCUCUCCACAGCCCCAUCUCCUCUCCUCUCCACAGCCCCCAUCGCCUCCACCACAGCGGCCUCCUCUCCAUGCCGCCCUCCUCCUCCACGGCCGCCCUCCUCCUCCACGACAGCCUCCUCCUCAACCGUCGCCUUCCUCCUUCGAUUAAGGUACUUGUGUAACAAAAAAUGGUUAUAAUUUUGAUUUUGGCUCUAUCAGCCUUCGAUUAAGGUACUGCUGUUUGUUUAUAAUUCACUGAUCAUGAUUAUAUUCUUAGGGUUUAUAUGAUUCAGCAAAUUCUUUUAAUUGUCAAAUAAUUCAUCUUCCCCAUCACGAUACCAUUCUUCAACUCCAUCACUGUAACACUCUCCCACCGGAAAAAAAAACACUCAAAAUAGUUAUUAAUUCACCAUACACAAACACAAACACAAACCCUUAUUGCUUUAUGCCGCUGUUCAUGUUCACCUUUUAGAAGCUCUUCACUUCAUAUCAAGAUGAGCAAGCAUUCCUUUCGGUCUGGUUUGAUUUCCAUUUUCCGAUACAGCCUUUUUAAUUCCUUUUUCUGAUUCAGCCUUUUCCCUUUUACACGUUUUAAUACUUAUGCAAUUUUUUAAUUCAUAGUUUGUCUGUAAAAUCGCAGGAGUCGACGAUCGUUGUAGCUGAAUGCCAGAUGGUUUUACUUGUUUCGUGUAAACACUCUUUGAUCGUGAUUUCUCUGUUUAAAGAAAGAAAUCUGUAUACCCUGGAGUCGUGUGUGUUACCGAGGUGAUGUUCCUCCAUAGCUGUUUACAUUACGCUCCAACCUCAUGAAGCCCUGUUCUCCCCAGCCCGUUCCCCAACUAUUCUUGAUUAUCCAGUAAUCCACAUCAUCUUCUCUACCAUAACCGACUAUGGUUAUGGUAUGAUUGAUGGAAUCAAUGUCUUCACAUGGAGCUUGGAAUCUGUAAAUACCCUGUACAUUCAGUGAAACAAUGUUAGCCAAAUGAAUACCUUAUUAUUUUCUAUUGAUUAAAAAUGCUAAAACGGUCUCUGAGUUUAUGUCACUUUUGCCACUUUAGUACAAAGAUGAAACUUUUUGUUUGUGGGACCUGAGGUUUCAUUUUUAUUGCCAUUUUCAUCCAAUUUGCAAACUUGGUUAGAAUUUUCUGCUAACUUCUCCCAUUUUUUGUCGUCUUCCUCAUUAAAUUAAAAUUUAUUAUUGCAUUAAAUGACGAUUAUACCCUUCAUUUAAAUGAAGAAAACGACAAAAGGGAAAAAGUAACAGAAAAUUCUAACCCAGUUUGCUAAUUGGAUGAAAAUGACAACAAAAAUGGAACCUCAGCAGGAAGCUAACCUCUUGUACUAUUUUAUGGUUUAAAUAUAAUGGUUGAU